UACGUAGGUGGCAAGCGUUAUCCGGAUUUAUUGGGCGUAAAGGGAACGCAGGCGGUCUUUUAAGUCUGAUGUGAAAGCCUUCGGUUUAACCGGAGUAGUGCAUUGGAAACUGGGAGACUUGAGUGCAGAAGAGGAGAGUGGAACUCCAUGUGUAGCGGUGAAAUGCGUAGAUAUAUGGAAGAACACCAGUGGCGGAAGCGGCUCUCUGGCCUGUAACUGACGCUGAGGUUCGAAAGCGUGGGUAGCAAACAGG
rnacentral:rRNA from 1 species